CCUCGAGAUCCCAUCGUCCCGCGUGGAGACCGCUGCCGCCAUCGACACCCCGUCCUCCUGCAUCUAGGGCAACCGCCGCCAUCCUGCAUCGUGGGCGGCCGCCGCCACCAGCGGAUCGGCCCGGUCCUGCAUCGCCGGCACCAGACAUGGAUGGUCAAGGCCCUGGCGACGAAGAGAGUGAAGAUUAUCUCCUCGUGAUUUGCUCGAGCACUCUCAGUAUUACAAGUCACGUAUCCGUAGGAAUGAAGAGGAGCUGGAUGCCAAAGCUUCGCAGUCGGUACCUUUCACUAAAAUAUCCGAUCACCCACUGUUGAAAAGUGCUGCCCGUAUUUAUACUCCGGUAAUGUUCAAGAUGGUAGAGGAGCAGAUCAUGAAAUCUGAUGAAUGGGAGAUUGGUGAGGUGACCCAGCAAGAUGCCUUUGGUUUUAGUUGUAUUGUAGUCAUUAAAUGGGGCAAUCAUGAUGUGACGUGUUUUUCGCGAGACCUUGAUGGAGAGCGUGUGCUGCCACUGUCGGAAGAUGCAGCGUGAGGAAAUCCACUGUGCACACGUAUUUUGUGUUCUGAAACACCUAGGCUUCCGCGACAUACCUCGCUGAUGUAUUGCCGUCAGAUGGACAAUGCAAGCUAAAGCUGGUUUGGAACCCGAGGGCAAUAACAGUAGACAUGUUUGGUCUGAACAUAUGGAUCGGUACCGCGAACUCCGAAACAAGGCGAAUACAUUUCUAUUCAAAGCUUCAUUGAGCAUCCAGGAAUCACAUAGAGUGAUGGAAUUUUUUAACACUAUUUCGUUGGAUGACGACGAGAAUGCUGAGGCUGGCGAGAAUGAUGUCAAUACUGCUUCCAAAACAUUUGGUCCGUUGCCUGCAUAUUUUUCAGGGGCAAACCAAGGUUUUAGUGGGAAAGUUAUCGAUCCAAUUACGAUAAAGCCAAAAGGUGCUCCAUCUAAGAAGAUGCCUAAGGCGUUCCAUGAGAGAUUCAGACCCGCGGACUAAGGUGGUAUGUGAUUUGAAGCAAAAGGUGCUGUUGUGUCGUCUUCCGAAGGUGGUUCUCUUCCCAACGUGUGAUGAUUCUGGUACAUGGAUGUGGCGAUGUUCUGAUAAGGUUUUAGGCUUAGCUCUGAAACACGAAACACAUUUUCUUAUUUUCUUAUUCUGAAAUGUCAGUUACAUAUGUGUUCAGUGUCAAUUUUAUGAAAUACGCCAGUAUAGAUGAACUCUGCUCUGACUUUCCGUUUUCUCAUUUCCUUGCGCAUCUGAUUUAGUAUUAUAGCUUUGCUUUGUGGGCUAGUGGGUACAAAGUAUCAGGGCUGAGAGCCUGAGAGUGUGUAGACAAAGGAGCAGCUUUAACCAGUGAUAAUGGCGUUCUAAGUUUGCUUGUUGUUGUGGAGUAUUCCUGUCAAGUUCUGUGAACAUGGGAAUCGGCAAAGAAUUUUCUCACUAUCUUUGAUUUCUAUUACAGUUGUCUGUGAAUUUUGUAUUUCUGAAUUAUAGCCCUGGUGUUUUACAAAUAUAGGCCAGCUAACAGGUGGAUUUCUGAAUAAGACAAUGACUUAAUUUUGCACCAUCAGCUAACAGGUGGAUUUCUGAAUGAUAUGGUACUGUUAUGGAUUGUAUUUUCGUAUUACCGAUCUACAUUGAUUUUCUCAAAAAGAUAUAGUGUAACAGACAUAGCCUGGAAUUGAUAGUACAAAGGACAAAACAGGCCCGACAGGGUGCGGAUACUGGAGCAAACAAGCGUUCUGCUGUAGGUGUUUCGUCAGUCCAGAGGCAGACAGCAACAAGGCUGAAGUGAUGUGGUUUUGAUUAAAAUUCAACCUUGCUAUUUGUGCUUAAUGUAUUUUUACUUCUCCCCUGCUUUACCUGUCUCUUAUUCUAAUCCAUGUAACGGAGAUGGAUUAGAUUAGACAAGCUGCUCCUGAGAAAAUAAAUAUCUGUGAAAAUGUGGGAGUUAUUAUUUUUCCUUUCCGCUAGAAUAAAUAUGUGGAUUUUGCCCGCCCGAGACAUGCUGCUCUGUAAUUUUUUUCUAGACCAGCAUCCUGGAAUUCAGUUAUGGGCUCAAAAAUUACAGUACAUCACCUAUAUCUCUGGUAUUCCCCUUCUUUGUAAA